ACUCAACACAGACAGGUAUUUACUGGAAUGCCUGUGGGAGACUGAAUGUAUUUUAAGGAAUUUGGUGUAGAAAAACUCUGUGGCAUCUUGAAGUCAAUUUAUGUUUAAGUUUCAAUGUUGACUCUGUUGCAAAAGGAAAUCGAACGCAAUUCUCAAAUGGGUAAGUUGAGUGAUACAAUAUAGAUACAAUUGUUCCAUCACAGAGCAUUAUAAGGCGUUAAUGGAUGGUUACAUUUAUUGGUUUUAAAUAUCAGACCCAGUUGAAGAGGCUAUACCUCUGGCUGCAUAGUCAUAACUGGCACUCGUUAGCAAGACGAAACGGUAAAUAGAAAAGGAUAGUACACAGCUUAUGACAAUGUGUGCGAGAAUUAAAUGACGAUCACUAUAACAACGAUGACCAAUCCAAUCCUUGGAUACCAAGUUCUCAUCUUGAUUGUUUUUUUCCACGUGGGCAUCUUUGGGCUGCGAUGCUGGAAUUGCAAGUCCGAAACCUGCCGCGAAGACCCAGACUCGACCGACGAGGCCCAAAAACAAGACUGCGGUCAAGGACAGAUAUGUCAGAAAGUAUACUUCGAAAUGAUCUGCGAGAACGAGAAAGAGGAGACAGUGUACGUGUCCACCGUUCGAAGCUGCGCACACCACUGCGAGCCACGGGACGACUUCCGGAACUGUUCGCGCAUGCGUCAUACGACACAUGGAUGCGUGCGCAGAGACUGCUGCGAGGACGCUGACCUUUGCAACAAGGCUUUGGCAAUGUCACCAGGCUUAAUGUGCUUGAUUGGUUUGUUGGUGUGCUUGUUGGCUUUUACUUUGCUUUCGUGAAAUAAUUAGAAUUACAAGUGUUGCGAAUUAACCUGGUCAUAGCAUCUAAGACUUAAAUAUUGUCAUGCAUGUCAUGUGAAUUUUUAAGAAAAUCUUGUGGUAUAUGUUUUUUGCAGAUUAACUCUUGAUUGUUCAAUUGUACCAUGGUGAUAUUUGUUACCAUGGUGAUAUUUGUUUUUCUGUGAAAUUCUCGGACGAUUUUUACGCAGGAGAACGCAAUUCAUUUUUGAAGAUUCUUUGUUCGGCUUAGGACGUUUAAUUCCGAAUGUCGUUUUAACGAGACCGUUGUUGUAACUUAUAGAAAAAUGGUGGAUACAAUCCUAGUUCGCAAGUUUGCAAAAAGCAUUGCUCUGUUUACACAACACCGUUAAAAAUAUGAGACGUGUUCUGGAGAGUUUUUGGCUUACUUUAUUUGAGUAAAAUGUUGUCUCAGAUUAGCCUGUGCAGUCCAAACAGACUACUAAGGGUCGACACUUUCCGCUUUUAUGGAAUUGUUCGUUUAAAAUAAGUAUUUCAAACUAUAAACGUAGUUUAAGCGGCAAAUAUCGUCCGUAAUUGCCUUUGACGACACUUUUCUUAAAUCCAUUAAAAUCAGUUUUCCUAGAUCGAAGCUCAUAAAAAAUAAUGUUACUAUUGUUUUAAGCAUACAAUAGCUGUUAAUCAUACGUGUAUCGGGUGGCAAAUAUUAGUAAUGAUGUCUUUAUCCCAAAGUACUUACACUGUAUACAUUAAAUACAAAACAAUGAGAAAGUUAUUUUUUAUUAGCUGUGAUACGGACAUAUCGACCUAAUCGACCUAAUCGAUCAUCGUCGUCGUCCUCCUCCUCCUCAUCAUCAUCAUAAUCAUCAUUAUCAUCAUCAUCAUCAUCAUCACCAUAAUCAUCAUAAGCAGCAGCAGCAUCAGCAUCAUCAUCAUCAUCAUCAUCAUCAUCAUCAUC